rnacentral:rRNA from 1 species
ACAAGUAGUCAGAGCCCGUUAAUGGGUGAUGGCGUGCCUUUUGUAGAAUGAACCGGCGAGUUACGAUUUGAUGCAAGGUUAAGCAGUAAAUGUGGAGCCGUAGCGAAAGCGAGUCUGAAUAGGGCGUUUAGUAUUUGGUCGUAGACCCGAAACCAGGUGAUCUACCCUUGGUCAGGUUGAAGUUCAGGUAACACUGAAUGGAGGACCGAACCGACUUACGUUGAAAAGUGAGCGGAUGAACUGAGGGUAGCGGAGAAAUUCCAAUCGAACCUGGAGAUAGCUGGUUCUCUCCGAAAUAGCUUUAGGGCUAGCCUCAAGUGAUGAUUAUUGGAGGUAGAGCACUGUUUGGACGAGGGGCCCCUCUCGGGUUACCGAAUUCAGACAAACUCCGAAUGCCAAUUAAUUUAACUUGGGAGUCAGAACAUGGGUGAUAAGGUCCGUGUUCGAAAGGGAAACAGCCCAGACCACCAGCUAAGGUCCCAAAAUAUAUGUUAAGUGGAAAAGGAUGUGGCGUUGCCCAGACAACUAGGAUGUUGGCUUAGAAGCAGCCAUCAUUUAAAGAGUGCGUAAUAGCUCACUAGUCGAGUGACACUGCGCCGAAAAUGUACCGGGGCUAAACAUAUUACCGAAGCUGUGGAUUGUCCUUUGGACAAUGGUAGGAGAGCGUUCUAAGGGCGUUGAAGCAUGAUCGUAAGGACAUGUGGAGCGCUUAGAAGUGAGAAUGCCGGUGUGAGUAGCGAAAGACGGGUGAGAAUCCCGUCCACCGAUUGACUAAGGUUU